rnacentral:rRNA from 1 species
ACGCUCGACACCUACAGGAGGCAGCAGUGAGGAAUAUUGGUCAAUGGGCGCAGGCCUGAACCAGCCAAGUAGCGUGAAGGAUGACUGCCCUAUGGGUUGUAAACUUCUUUUAUAUGGGAAUAAAGUUUUCCACGUGUGGAAUUUUGUAUGUACCAUAUGAAUAAGGAUCGGCUAACUCCGUGCCCGCAGCCGCGGUAAUCUGAGCGGGCUGGCAAGGC